rnacentral:rRNA from 1 species
UACGUAGGGGGCAAGCGUUGUCCGGAAUCAUUGGGCGUAAAGAGCGUGUAGGCGGCCCGGUAAGUCCGCCGUGAAAGUCCAGGGCUCAACCCUGGAAUGCCGGUGGAAACUGCCGGGCUGGAGUCCGGAAGAGGCGAGUGGAAUUCCUGGUGUAGCGGUGAAAUGCGCAGAUAUCAGGAGGAACACCAAUGGCGAAGGCAGCACUCUGGGACGUGACUGACGCUGAGACGCGAAAGCGUGGGGAGCAAACAGG